UAGCAUUAAAAUCAAGGAUUCUAAAAUCAAGGAAAAGUUUAACAUUUCAAAAAUCAGAAUUUUUUUAUUAAUUAUUUGACACAGACCCAUCUCCUCCCUCUCCCUCUCCCUCUCCCUUUCUCGUCUCUCUCUCUCUAUUCUCUUUACCACACACUGAAGCAGCUGUGGGAGGUGGGGCGACGUGGGACUUCAAUCUGUGCAAGGUGUAGCGUGCGAGCAGCGUUAAUCUGCGAGGUGGAGCAAUGAGGUGCGUCAAUCUGAGAGUUGUUCGAGGUGUGGUGGCGUGAGAUUUCUGAAGUGGUGGUGAAUUAAAUUUGUGAGACUUCUGAGGAAAAGUUCAAAAAUGUUGGGAAGUGGCUGGAUUUGCUUUACAGUUUGUGAUUUCUACAGUUCUUGGCGAUCGCACUACCCUGAUUGUUGGGAUGGUGGGUUCUAUGAUGUCAAAAUAAAAGGUUUUAUACUAUUAAUGAAUUCUGGUCAUGUGAAAUUGGGAAAUCAGUAUACUCAGAAGGUUGUUCCUUGUAGAUAAUAAUUGAAUAAGGCAAAAUCGAUGUUAAUGUAAUCCCUGCAGCUUUAACAAUGUUCUUAGCUGGGAUCUGUCAAAGUCGUGAAUUGCUUAAGGUGUCUUGACUUGCAUUAAAAAACGUGGCUUCGUUUCGUUAUUUGUCUCAAUCUUAAGAUUUUAGAGAUAUCUGAUAACAUAAUAAUAGUUCUUAUUUUGAUAAAUAAAAAUGUUGAUCAAGGGCAUGGGAUGGAUGCCAGAUGCUGAUGUUUUUUGAAGGG
rnacentral:lncRNA from 1 species